rnacentral:rRNA from 1 species
GUGGGGAAUUUUGGACAAUGGGCGAAAGCCUGAUCCAGCCAUGCCGCGUGCAGGAUGAAGGCCUUCGGGUUGUAAACUGCUUUUGUACGGAACGAAAAGACUCUGGUUAAUACCUGGGGUCCAUGACGGUACCGUAAGAAUAAGCACCGGCUAACUACGUGCCAGCAGCCGCGGUAAUACGUAGGGUGCAAGCGUUAAUCGGAAUUACUGGGCGUAAAGCGUGCGCAGGCGGUUAUAUAAGACAGAUGUGAAAUCCCCGGGCUCAACCUGGGAACUGCAUUUGUGACUGUAUAGCUAGAGUACGGCAGAGGGGGAUGGAAUUCCGCGUGUAGCAGUGAAAUGCGUAGAUAUGCGGAGGAACACCGAUGGCGAAGGCAGUCCCCUGGGCCUGUACUGACGCUCAUGCACGAAAGCGUGGGGAGCAAACAGGAUUAGAAACCCUUGUAGUCC